rnacentral:rRNA from 1 species
UACGGAGGGUGCGAGCGUUGUCCGGAAUCAUUGGGCGUAAAGGGCGCGUAGGCGGCGUGUCAAGUCAGGCGUGAAAGCCCCGGGCUCAACCUGGGAACCGCGCUUGAGACUGGCAUGCUCGAGUUCGGGAGAGGAUGGUGGAAUUCCCAGUGUAGAGGUGAAAUUCGUAGAUAUUGGGAAGAACACCGAUGGCGAAGGCAGCCAUCUGGACCGACACUGACGCUGAGGCGCGAAAGCGUGGGGAGCAAACAGG